rnacentral:lncRNA from 1 species
CACCUGUACAGUUGCUUUACUAUUUCUCAUCCCACCUGCUAUGAGCCAGCCAAUAAAGUUAUGACCUCCUUGGAUCUUCACAAGAAGCCUAUAGGGUAGUUAUGGAUCAUCCCCAUUUUGCAGAAGCAAAACUGAGACCGAGAGAGUCCUGACCUCUGUGGCACUGGAGUCGAGCCUUCUCUGGUUUGCUCUUUCUGUCUCUCAGCCCGGGAGACCCAUGAGCUCCAACCCACGGCAGGCCUAGGAAAGUGAGUACAGCAGCUAGCUAGCCCUAAGGACUAUCUUCCCGUGGGCACUGGCCCAUUCAGCAUAUCCCGCAGACAUGCUUUCAGAGGCUGCCAGGUCCUCAGACUGAAAGAGAAGAAUGAGGCGUCCACCAGGUUGAAAGGGAGGUCAGUGUGGAUCUGCUUCACCAACCUCACAGGAAUCCAUAGCGUCUGCCCCAAAAAUCUACCCAAGAAGGAGGCAUGGCAUGCACCCCAGGACUAAGCUGCCGGUGGAGGGGAAUCCGUUCACAUAGACCACCACGCCUCCAUCCCUCCUUCCUUUCUCCAGCCUCAGCAGCUGUGGAAGCCAGUGGAGCUUCCUGCGGGUAAAAAAUUCAAUCAAUCAACCACCCACCCAACACCCGUGAAGCAUGUCUUUUGUUCAAGUUCUGAGGGGGGACACAAAAGAGCAGGCAGGCCACAGCUAUGCUCAUUAAUACGUCAGCUGCUUGGAACUUGGCAUGUAGAGCUGUGUUAUUCACAGCAGAAAGUUUCCUAGGCCAGCCUGCCAAAAAAAAAAAAAAAAAAAAA